CAAACCCUAAAUCUCGAUUUUCUACAUUUGCGAUUUAGCCAAAAUCCUUUCUCAUAUUCUCUCAUCACCGUGAAGGUUUCUCCGGCAACAAUCAACUUCGUUAUUCUGUUCGUUAUUCUCUCUUCUUCCUCUUCAUCUUCUUUCAUCUUCUUCCAUUAAUCCAUGUUUGUUCUUUAUCAACACCUUUCAUACAAUGGCGUUCAAAUUGUAACAAGUGGAAUUGAAUCCAACCGUCCAAUGAGAAACCCGAAAAUCUUCAGAAAAGUUUGAAGCUUGAGAGAGAGAGAGACAAUGGAAACAAGUGGUGGUUGGAGCCAUCCAUCCAAUGGUGAUGUUUGCGUUCCGAUUAGAGCAUCGACCAGCUACAUAAUCAAUCGCAUUGAUUUGGAGUUUCCUUUUGGAUUCUCCCAUUAUUGAAAGUUGUUACAAUCACGAACCCUAAAUCCAGAAUUAACACACACCUUUCUUUUCAUCCUUUGCCUCCUUACAGUUUUCUCUCUUUGAAAAACCCUAGAUCUCAUCUCUUUACAAUCAAAAGUGACCUGAAAUCUUCAAACGGAGCUCGCCGGAGAGUUGGCCGAAGGACGGACGGUGGUGGUCGGAGUAAAGCUAGAUGAGCAGAGCAGGGUGAGGAACUUGAAAGCAUUGCAGACUUUGGUUCCAAAUUCUAACAAGAUUGAUAAGGCUUGAAUGUUGGAUGAAACUAUUGAGUAUCUGAAGCAGCUUCAACUAAAAGUACAUACCCUUACCAUGCGAAACAGGUUUGGUUUGCCACCUAUUUAUGCACAAGAACAAGGAAUGCAAAGGCCCUUGAGCUAUCAACAAGAAACUUAAGCACACAUGUUGGCUUUACACGUAUCACCUGUAGUAGGGAUGAGCAAAUCGUUCCCGAUAACGGUACCAAACCGGUACCGGUACCGAAUUUACCGAACCAGUUACAUAUUUUGUUAUUGCAUCAUUCUUUAGACGAGCUUUUUGGUUUUUGAAGGCAACAAUUGCAUCCCAAUCAAGUGAGUAAGGGCGGAGAAUGAGAUAAAUAACUUUUUCUUGGAGUUGGCAGCUGGCGGGUCCGAUGGAAUAAUUGGAGCUGAACUUGGAAACUUUGUGCAGAAACUAGAGAGGAUCGUUGGUUGUGGGGUCUGGAGCGCUCGAUGUCAGACGGAAGAUCAAGAGUUGACCGGGAAUCUAAUAUACAGUAGUUGUUACAAUUAGAAGAGAAAGAUGUAGUAUCAUCUGUUGCUACUGUGCUUUCUGACCUUUGUGGUCCUGGGAUUGGAUGCCUUUGGAGAAACUUCAUCCUGAGAUGUUACGAGAUAAGGCUGGUCGAGCGGGUCGGGUAACUGGUCAAAACUAAUAAUGAACCUUUCAAGAUAUCAGCCCCCGUUGCCAGCUGAUCAGGUGAAAGUGGCAACUGAGUUUUUGAAUCAAGGAGGGAAGCCACCAUCUACUUACCCCAUGUUGGAGCAUGUUUAUUUAAGCAAAAAGUCUUAAAGCUGGUGAUUCUGUUUUGUUUGUCAGGCUCUAAUUGGAGAUUUUGGGAUCUAUAUUGUUUCAUUUGAUCGACCUGGUUACGGAGAGAGUGAUCGGAUCCUAAACGGACGUUAAAGAGUUUUGCUUUAGAUAUGAAGAAGUUGUUGAUCAACUAGAACUCAGUCCCAAAUUUUUUGUGGUCUAGUUUUCUAUGGGCAGGCAAGUGAUUGGUCUUAUUUGAUCUACAUUCCUCAUAGCGAAGACACAAAAACCUUGGGGUUCUUAUUGGAUUUUGUGUAGAUGGUGCUAAUAAGUAGUGAUGGCUUGCAUCGUGGGCUGAUUUUCGUCUAAAGGGUGGCAAAUAGAAUUGGGUUAAACAAGUUGAGUAACAUGCCAAAUGCAAGCAAGUUGUUAGGCACAAGUUAAACCGGUUGGGUUGACUCGAAAACAUCAUGUAGAUGUACUAUUGGGACGUGCUCAAAUCUCUCAAAAUAUUAGGCUUAACAAAUCACACUUUAACGCUUCUAUGUUUAAACUAUUUUAUGUGUUUAGUUGGUGUUUAGCCACCCGCGAAGCUCGCGGGGUCUUAGGCUAGUAUAU
rnacentral:lncRNA from 1 species